GCCAACCAUCUCUGGGAAGACCUUAUUGCUGCCUUUCAGUAUUUAAAGGGAACCCAUACGAAAGAUGCAGAUAGAUUCUGCAGAGCCUGCUGCAAUAGAACAAGGAGUCAUUAAUAAAUCCCAAGACAUCACCAAUCUUAGACCGACUUCAAGCACUCUGGAUGAGCAGAUUAGAAAAGAAAAUAAACAGACUGAAGUAAUCAUCUGAAAGAAACAAGAUGACUUUCAAUAGGGAGAAAUCCAAGAUAUUCCAAUAAGCAGGAAUAUGCAACUGUAUAAACUGAGGAUGAAGAACAAGUGAUUAGGGAUAUCUGGAAGACUCAGGUGGAACAUAAGAUAAAACAUUCGGCAAUGUGGGCAGUGAAGUGUGGCAUGGUCUGACAGAAAUCCCAAGAAAUUCAACUAAAACAAAUGCCAAAAUCUACAAACCAGGCACCAGCUGGAAAGGAAAGCAGCUCUACUGAAAAGGACUGAGGGGUCCUGUGUGACAACACGUUGUACAUCAGCCUGC